rnacentral:tRNA from 1 species
GGGUCGUUAGCUCAGUUGGCAGAGCAGCUGACUCUUAAUCAGCGGGUCGAAGGUUCGAGUCCUUCACGACCCA